rnacentral:misc_RNA from 1 species
AACAAGGCGUACCUGCGGACCUGCGGAAGGAUCAUUACCGAGUUUACAACUCCCAAACCCCUGUGAACAUACCUAUACGUUGCCUCGGCGGAUCAGCCCGCGCCCUGUAAAACGGGACGGCCCGCCCGAGGACCCUAAACUCUGUUUUUAGUGGAACUUCUGAGUAAAACAAACAAAUAAAUCAAAACUUUUAACAACGGAUCU